GUGGGGAAUCUUCCGCAAUGGACGAAAGUCUGACGGAGCAACGCCGCGUGAGUGAUGAAGGUCUUCGGAUUGUAAAGCUCUGUUAAUCGGGACGAAAGAGCCUAGUGUGAAUAAUGCUAGGAAGUGACGGUACCGGAAUAGAAAGCCACGGCUAACUACGUGCCAGCAGCCGCGGUAAUACGUAGGUGGCAAGCGUUGUCCGGAAUUAUUGGGCGUAAAGCGCGCGCAGGCGGAUCUGCCAGUCUGUCUUAAAAGUUCGGGGCUUAACACCGUGAUGGGAUGGAAACUACAGAUCUAGAGUAUCGGAGAGGAAAGUGGAAUUCCUAGUGUAGCGGUGAAAUGCGUAGAUAUUAGGAAGAACACCAGUGGCGAAGGCGACUUUCUGGACGAAAACUGACGCUGAGGCGCGAAAGCCAGGGGAGCGAACGGGAUUAGAUACCCGGGUAGUCC
rnacentral:rRNA from 1 species